rnacentral:rRNA from 1 species
CAGUCGAACGGAGAUAUUCGCUGAUGAAGUACUUCGGUAAUGAAUCUUGGAUAUCUUAGUGGCGGACGGGUGAGUAACGCGUGAGCAACCUGCCUUUCAGAGGGGGAUAACGUUUGGAAACGAACGCUAAUACCGCAUGACAUUAUCUUAUCGCAUGGUAGGAUAAUCAAAGGAGCAAUCCGCUGAAAGAUGGGCUCGCGUCCGAUUAGGUAGUUGGUGGGGUAACGGCCCACCAAGCCGACGAUCGGUAGCCGGACUGAGAGGUUGGACGGCCACAUUGGGACUGAGACACGGCCCAGACUCCUACGGGAGGCAGCAGUAAGGGAUAUUGGUCAAUGGGGGAAACCCUGAACCAGCAACGCCGCGUGAGGGAAGACGGUUUUCGGAUUGUAAACCUCUGUCCUCUGUGAAGAUGAUGACGGUAGCAGAGGAGGAAGCUCCGGCUAACUACGUGCCAGCAGCCGCGGUAAUACGUAGGGAGCGAGCGUUGUCCGGAUUUACUGGGUGUAAAGGGUGCGUAGGCGGCUUGGCAAGUCAGUAGUGAAAUCCAUGGGCUUAACCCAUGAACUGCUAUUGAAACUGUCGAGCUUGAGUGAAGUAGAGGUAGGCGGAAUUCCCGGUGUAGCGGUGAAAUGCGUAGAGAUCGGGAGGAACACCAGUGGCGAAGGCGGCCUACUGGGCUUUAACUGACGCUGAGGCACGAAAGCGUGGGUAGCAAACAGGAUUAGAUACCCUGGUAGUCCACGCUGUAAACGAUGAUUACUAGGUGUGGGUGGACUGACCCC